GAUGAACGCUGGCGGCGUGCCUAACACAUGCAAGUCGAGCGAACCCUUCGGGGUGAGCGGCGGACGGGUGAGUACGCGUGGGCAACCUGCCCUAUACACACGGAUAACGUACCGAAAGGUACGCUAAUACGGGAUAAAGUUGUUGGAUGGCAUCUUCUAACAAUCAAAGCUCCGGCGGUAUAGGAUGGACCCGCGUCUGAUUAGCUAGUUGGUGAGGUAAUGGCUCACCAAGGCGACGAUCAGUAGCCGACCUGAGAGGGUGAUCGGCCACACUGGAACUGAGACACGGUCCAGACUCCUACGGGAGGCAGCAGUGGGGAAUAUUGCACAAUGGGCGAAAGCCUGAUGCAGCAACGCCGCGUGAGCGAUGAAGGUCUUCGGAUCGUAAAGCUCUGUCCUCAAGGAAGAUAAUGACGGUACUUGAGGAGGAAGCCCCGGCUAACUACGUGCCAGCCGCCGCAGUAA
rnacentral:rRNA from 1 species